UUGAGAGUCCUGAAGGAACGUUGAAGACGACGACGUUGAUAGGCCGGGUGUGUAAGCGCAGCGAUGCGUUGAGCUAACCGGUACUAAUGAACCGUGAGGCUUAACCUUACAACGCCGAAG
rnacentral:rRNA from 2 species